rnacentral:rRNA from 1 species
CAGUCGCCGCGGGAAUACGUAGGGUGCGAGCGUUAAUCGGAAUUACUGGGCGUAAAGCGUGCGCAGGCGGUUAUAUAAGACAGAUGUGAAAUCCCCGGGCUCAACCUGGGACCUGCAUUUGUGACUGUAUAGCUAGAGUACGGUAGAGGGGGAUGGAAUUCCGCGUGUAGCAGUGAAAUGCGUAGAUAUGCGGAGGAACACCGAUGGCGAAGGCAAUCACCUGGACCUGUACUGACGCUCAUGCACGAAAGCGUGGGGAGCAAACAGGAUUAGAUACCCCGGUAGUCCCUGUCUCUUAUAC